GUGCUCUUUUCUGCAGCACAUUUACUAAAAUUGGAACAACACAGAGAAGAUUAGCAUGGGCAUUGUGCAAGGAUAACACAAAAUUUGUGAAGUGGUCCAUAUUUUU